CAUAUGUGACUAACUAUCUGUAAAAUAUCUGUUAGUUUUUAAAAUCACAUGUAAACAUCCAAUAAACACACAACUGCAACAAUGAUAUGACUGUGUAAAUUUGAAAAGCAAGAUUAGCAUAAGGACUCGGUAACGUUAGUCCUCACAUCUCCUGGAGCCUGGAUGGAUAUUUUACCUGAACUUUUAGGAACAGUGCAAAAAUUGAACGUUAUAAUUUGUGGUUACAUGAACUGGUACAUUGCCCUGCAUUUUAUGACAGAUUUGAACUGCGUGCCUCUGUUUGAAACUCCAAGGUACUUAACAAGAAAGGAUAAUUGGAUAAUUUGGAUAUUUUCGACGAGGAUCCGACCGUGUGAAUGUCUUGAGAAGAGAAAGGGGGUAACUAUAGCCUAAUUUAGCAAGCUAACGUUAGCUGGAGGACUCAUUUUCACAUCACACACAGGUAAGAAUGUUAAACCUAGAUUUUACAUGAACUUUGAGUGAAGAUUGUACAGAAUCUUUUUUUUUCUUCAUGUGGUUACAUGUGUAACUUGCAUAUUUGGUCCAUUUUAUUACAGACACUUUUCAUUUGCAACUCCGGUGCUUCUAAAAAUAACAUUUUAAGAUCGAGUGAGACCUUUGUUAUUUUUACGUUAUUGCAGUUGGUUUAUAUAGAAAUUGACUAGAGUUACGAUCAGAUUUUAUGCUUGGUAACGUUACCUAAAGUGGCAGAGCUUUUAAUCUUUUUUGUGAGUAAGAAGUAACUGCUAUUAUAAUGAAAAUUCUUUACAAUUCAUUUUUGACCAAUAGAUGUCUGCCACCACUGCUAAUCUUGAAAAGAUGGGUAACCUGCCAGUGACUCCUCAUUUGAUUCUGCCUGGUUCAGAUGAUACUUUGGGCCAGUGGAUAAAACAAUGGAUGAUCAGCAUGGAAGGCAGAGUAAUCUGUGAGGGUGAGCAUGCACACUGGAAUUCCUUCAAAGAUGCUUUGCUGGCAUAAAUCCAGAGAGGGGAACCAAGGCUGUGAGGGGAAAUGUGACAUCAAAAAAAAAAACUGGCAAGACAGUUCAGAAGAAGACCAUGACUUUAAACCCCAAGGUUUCAAACAUUUUAAAGAAACUAAUGGACUUUGAAUGGGACUUUAUUUAAAAUGCAGCUUGCUUGCACCCCCCUACUUUUGAAACACAGAGGACUUUUUUCUUUAUUUGCUGAAGCUCAUUUUAGGGCUAUAUAUUUUUAUAUUUUAUAUCCAAGACUAAAUUGUAAAGUGGCUAUUUAUUAAUUUUUUCUAUGACAUUCGGUAAGUUGCUUCUUGUUGUACAAUGCUGAAUACGAUCUUAACAUUUCUGGAGAACUUACAAUUUUUGCCUGUUCUUUGGCUUAAUAUUUACACAAACACAAUGCAGAUUUUAUUUUGUGUUGUUUGAAAAUAAAAAUGUGAAAUAUAA